UACAGAGGUGGCAAGCGUUGUUCGGAAUUACUGGGCGUAAAGGGCGCGUAGGCGGUUCGUCAAGUCCUGUGUGAAAUCCCCCGGCUCAACUGGGGAACUGCACAGGAAACUAGCGGGCUUGAGUUCGGGAGAGGGAAGCGGAAUUCCGGGUGUAGCGGUGAAAUGCGUAGAUAUCCGGAGGAACACCGGUGGCGAAGGCGGUUUCCUGGACCGACACUGACGCUGAGGCGCGAAAGCUAGGGGAGCAAACGGG
rnacentral:rRNA from 1 species